UGGCGGACGGGUGAGUAACGCGUGGGUAACCUGCCUCAUACAGGGGGAUAACAGUUAGAAAUGACUGCUAAUACCGCAUAAGACCACGGAGCCGCAUGGCUCAGUGGGAAAAACUCCGGUGGUAUGAGAUGGACCCGCGUCUGAUUAGGUAGUUGGUGGGGUAACGGCCUACCAGGCCAACGAUCAGUAGCCGACCUGAGAGGGUGACCGGCCACAUUGGGACUGAGACACGGCCCAA
rnacentral:rRNA from 1 species